ACCAGUUACUUUGAUCAACUCAUCUGUGCUGUGCCACGGAAGGCAGUGUGGUGGUCAGUUCUCUCUGCAGGGGAACCCAUGACUUCAGGAAGCUGAGGCAGCAACAAUACUGGAAAAAACUGAUCUGAGGGAAGGCAGUUGAUGGUGGAAAUUACUAUCCUCACUUGCAGGCAGAGGACAUAAAGAAGAGGGAAUGCCAGCAACCAUGCUGUCAACUUUGCAAGUCAUUAACAAUCUGGAAAGAGACUGAGACAUACUGUCAACUUAAGCAGAA
rnacentral:lncRNA from 1 species